CCAAGAAACCAGUGUAUACUACACUCCUUAAUCAAUACCUAGAUGAAGUUGGCAGGGCUCCUUUCAGUUAAACAAAUUACCUUAAUGAAAAAAGCGUUACUCAUCCAUUUGUUCUUAUGCUUUGCUCGUUAAUUCACAAAAUGCAAAUGCAGCAGACAGGCUAGCACUUCUUGAAUUCAAGAACAGAAUAACUGAUGAUCCCUUCAAUUUCCUAAUUUUUUGGGACGAAUCUG
rnacentral:lncRNA from 1 species